UACGUAGGGCGCGAGCGUUGUCCGGAAUUAUUGGGCGUAAAGAGCUCGUAGGCGGCUUGUCACGUCGGGUGUGAAAGACCGGGGCUUAACUCCGGUUCUGCAUUCGAUACGGGCUAGCUAGAGUGUGGUAGGGGAGAUCGGAAUUCCUGGUGUAGCGGUGAAAUGCGCAGAUAUCAGGAGGAACACCGGUGGCGAAGGCGGGUCUCUGGGCAGUAACUGACGCUGAGGAGCGAAAGCGUGGGGAGCGAACAGG
rnacentral:rRNA from 1 species